CAUAGCUAACUUGAAAAUAGGUGAACCUGCGGAAGGAUCNUUACCGANAUAGGGUCCCCCGGGGCCCGAACCUCCCACCCCUGNUUAUUCCUACCCUGUUGCUUUGGNGGACCUGCGGGGUCGCUACCCGCCGUCGGCCACGGUUGACNAGCGCCCGUCAAAGGCCCCUAUGUGANUCACUCUUUACCGUGACGUCUGAGUCUCAUGACCAAUCGAAUAAAACUUUCAACAACGGAUCUCUUGGNUCUGGCAUCGAUGAAGAACGCAGCGAAAUGCGAUAAGUAAUGUGAAUUGCAGAAUUCAGUGAAUCAUCGAAUCUUUGAACGCAUAUUGCACCCCCUGGNAUUCCGGGGGGUAUGCCUGUCCGAGCGUCNUUGCNCCCCUCAAGCCCGGCUUGGUAUUGGGCUGUCGUCCCCGGGGGCGUACCCAAAAAUCAACGGCGGUGCGGNUGGGCCUCGAGCGUAGUGACAAACUAAACGUUUUCNCUUCGAUGGACCCCGCUGUGCUAGCCGGACAACCCACCCGCAAUUUCUCACGGUUGACCUCGGAUCAGGUAGGGAUACCCGCUGAACUUAANCAUAUCAAUAAGCGGAGGA
rnacentral:rRNA from 1 species